CAUAAAGAGUAAACAGUGAACUAAUCCAUUUUUCAGGUAGAUAGGUAGAUAUUCACGUAGGAGAUGAAAAUGAAACAAUAUAUUUAAAAUAUAUAUUUAACAAAAGCUGCCCCCUUGGUAUAGUCCUACGUCACUCCGGUUAUGUCCCCGACAUUACCCACCCGUCUUUUUUAUUUUACAAUCAACAUAUUCACUACAAAUAAUUUUUAUGGCAGAACAACGUUUGCCGGGUCAGCUAGUGUACAUAUAUAAUACUGCAUAUCGCGAUACUAGGAUGAUCGUUGUACCGAUAUACGACUUAAUCCAUCAAUGAUAUAGAAUACAGUGUUUUUGCAUUUUAUACGAUUUCGGAUACACAUGAUGCAUCCUUUGAUUGAUAGUUUAUACGAUUGUAAUUUGACGUGCACCCGUGGCCGAGUGGUUAGCGUCUCACGAUUCCCGUUCUGGCCGGAGGAUUUUUCGUCAAGGAAAUUUCCUUCGACUUGCACUGCGGUCACGUGUUUUCUAGAGCUUGCCCCUCAGAAUACAUACAAGGUGUGUUAUUUGGCUUAAGAAAUCUCAACUAAGCAUUAAUAAAUGACGCUAAUUAAUUCAUAGGUUGAGAUGGCAAAAGUUCCACAGGGAACGUUAACGCCAUUCAAGAAGAAGAAGAAGAACGAUUUUCAUUUGAUACGACUUUAAAUACGACCUUGCAUGUGCAAAAUUUAUUCGAUUUAAUGUUUGCUGGGCGGCUCUCAGUACCAUUGAUAACUCGCUUUCGGGAGUCCAGGAUCAGGUUCAACUUGUCACAAUAAUUCCGUUACGGUGCGUGGCUAUUGGACUAAUGAGAUGUCUGUUAAACAAGUUCAAUAGUCUGCAAUACGAUAUGUGGACUGAGUAACAAACAGCACAGUUUGAAUCGGCAUUCUAUUUUCAAAUCAAUUCUAAUUAUUUAUUUUUUGCUUUUGAUUGCUUUUGCGAUAUUCAUUCAAGAAAAACUACAUCAACAUGACACCGUUCAGUUUAUCAUUAUGCAGCGCUUCAUUCUUUUUUCUCCGAAGUGACCGACUCUGUUGCUGUUUUGUUCCCUUUCCUAUGAACUCUAUCCUCGCCCACAGUCAUAACAAACAACAAUCUCAAUCUCAAUUAGAUCUGGACCAAAAGCGCAGCGUAAAAGAAAAAAAGAAACACAAACACCGCCGUCAAUCUUCUCGUUCAUUGAUAACGACAUUUCUCCCACAACGAAGAAUGGAAAAAAAAUAUGUGUUAAAAUAGUCACGCUGCACACGAUCGGCUAUUGACAACGCGCUCAUUCUGCAUAACUUCCCCUCGUUUCGCUUAUCACAUGACGCGGGGUACAUCCAAAUAUGGCGUAACUUUCAUCAAAUCAUUCAAAGUCCGGCCAUAAUGAGGAAUCUCGGUUGUGCCUCGUGACAUUAUGGGGUUAGUGCACUUCCGGGCUGGUUUCAUGGCGUAAUUUACGGCUAGCUUACGGAGGGAGAAAGUGCAUUCCACUAGAAUGGGAAAUCGACGCAAUUCGUUCUCAGUUGACCCAGUCCCGUGCGAACGCAUAGAGCGUUGAACGUUGCGUGUAGUGUUCGAAUUGUUCUCUUAUCUUCUUUCGUUUUGUUCUUUUGGGGUGUGCUCUGACUGUGUGUAUUUCGAUGGCCCGCCCUCGUCCUCACAACCCGCGAUCACGCGCUCGAGAAGAGGGUCACGUGUGUCAGCCGAUUCACACCAUCAGAGAUCUGUUGGAAUUUGAGAAGGAACCGGUCAGCUGGCGCAAUUUGGUGCUACCGAUCACACCGCGAUCGCGAUCGCGCUAUCUCGGCGAGCGCUAUCAGGAGAUCGAUUUUGACGCGGGGGUUACCGAUUUCGUGGAGGAUCGUCGGCGACCGCAGGUGCUGGUGUGUCAUGAUUUCAAGGGAAACUAUCUCACGGAUAAGUAUGUCAACGGAACGACGGGGGAGAAAUGGGUGGACUACCGGUUCUACAAUUGGGCCGCCGUGGAUGUGUUCUGCUACUUCAGCCAUAACUUUGUGACCAUUCCAACGCUGCAGUGGCUCAACUGUGCCCACAAGAACGGGGUCAAAGUGAUCGGGACGUUCAUCAUCGAGGGGGCUAACAUGGGUCUGCUGAAGGAUAUUCUGCAGUCGGAGGAGUUUCUGCAGAAGGUGGCGGAUGCGCUGGUGACGGUGGCGAAGAUUUGUCAAUUUCAGGGUUGGCUGCUGAACAUAGAGUGCACACUCGACGAGGACAAAGUAGCGAUGCUGAGGGACUUUGUGACUUACCUAACGAAGAAAUGUCAUGAGCAGAUCCCUGGCAGCAUGGUCAUCUGGUACGACGCCAUCACGGAAAAGGGUCUGCUCAGCUGGCAGAAUGAACUGAACAACCAAAAUCGAGCUUUUUUCGCCGCUUGCGAUGGCAUCUUUCUGAAUUACACUUGGACCCGCCAGCACCUGGAACGAAGCGAGAGCUUCAUCCGCAAUCAUUACCCCGAACGGAAGCUGGACGUUUAUGUCGGAAUCGAUGUGUUCGGUCGAGGGCAGAAAGCUAAGAUGGACACCUACCACACGUUGGCCACAGUGAUGGAAUUUAAGUUCUCGGUGGCGAUUUUCGCCCCCGGUUGGACAUUUGAAUCGCUCGAGGAAUCCAUGCGUAGAGAUCAACUCGAUCAGGAUGGGUCCAACAUCCGAUUCCUCAAGCUGAACGAUCGCUUCUGGAAUCUACUGUGGCGAUACUUCUUCGUGAGGGGACCUCAGCAACUGCCAUUCUAUACUUCCUUCUGUCUCGGCUCGGGAAAGAUUCGUAACCGACUGGGAAAACGUCAGACUGAAUCGUGGUUUAACUUGUCCCGGCAGGGAUUUCAACCGAGCAUUCCAUACACGCCACCGCGGGAGUACGAGAGGGACAGCGUGGGACCGGUGUAUUGGACGCACAGUUUUGACACCGCCCUGGACGGAGGGUCCUGUUUGAGGGUAGAAGAAGUGCACCCGAACAGUCGUUUGUUUGCGUCCGAUUUUGACUGCGGUUCGGAUUUGAUCGUGGCUUAUGCCUUCAAGCGGAGUGACAGAACCAGUGCGGAUCUGAAUUUACUGUUGAAGGUGUAUGAUAUUCGAUCUCACAGCUCGCUGAAGGUGGUCUGUGGCGACGAGGAUUGUCACUUGAGCGAUCGGAGGAACGAGAUGAAGGCGAUCCCACUGGACAGCGAGGACUGUCGAACGUUGCUUGGGAUGAAGGCCCAGUUGAAGCUGCCGGCCAUGAGUAGCAUUAAUGGGUGGGAAAUAAGAUACUAUUAUCUCUCGAUCGAGGCCAUCAGCCAUGGCCCGACGGCGAUCGUGGACAUUGGCGUCGAGCUGAGGAAAGAUUACCCGAAGGACUACGCAUUGCUCGGGGCCAUUUCCCUGCAGGCGGGCUACCCCGCGAGCCGUGUUCGCAUCAGGAAGCGAACGCUCGUUUCGUUCGAUCUCUGACAGUGGGUCGUUUGCUAACGGAUGGGUGGUGGGAAAAUUCAGAAUAAUUAUACGUAAAACACGAAAAAUUUAUAUUAAGGGUGCUCAUACACUGUUUGACCGAAGCCAAAUAUUUGACUCUUUUUGACAGAUAAAAUUUGGUCAACGUGUACUGAUCAAAUAUAUUCUACACAAAACACGACAAGCAAAUAUUCGAUUAUUGGAUGCCUAAAAUAUUUUUUCAGUCUGUUCUUCGAACCUGUUGGUACAUGGUUAGGUUACCUUGGAUAUUUCAGUUGAUUUUUUCCAUGUUCGGUGUUUGAUAUUGUUUACUACUGUUUAAAAUUGAAGAGUGGCAAACAAAAUAGUGUUUGUACAAAUAUCAAAUCAAACCUUAUCUGUCAAAAAAUAUCAAAUAUUUGAACUCCGGGCAAACAGUGUACGGCCACCUUAAGAGUAUAGGACACGUUUUAACUCUUUCCCGUACAACAUCGAGCCUCACUCGAGGUGUCUUGCAUAACAUAGGGCGCUAGAACGCUCAGCAGAGUAGUGAGAUCACUUGAUGUGUGACGUAUUAAAUAAUACGGGAAGAGAUUAAUCUUUAUUCGGUCUUAGUUGUUGUAUAGUUAGUUUCUCUUUGGCUCUAGAAUAAACUGACAGUUACAGUAAAGGAUAGAAUAAAGGUAAAUGAUUAGCUAGGUAGAACUUUUGAUGACGUCAACAGUAUAUGUCCAGCGAUGAGCAUAUGCGCACUGGGUGCAGUAAUCUUCUUCUGCUGACCGGUUCUAGGGCAACAGUUGUCGCAUAUUCUCGCGCACGGCACUAACGAGCACAGAGGCCAACCAGAUGCUCCAGGAAGGUCAACCGCAUUACUCUCCGUGCGCUAAACACAGGAGACGGAUUUAAUGCUUUGUCUUGCGUUUGAACAUUUGAUGACGGCCGAUAUAAACGAACAAACCGAUUUCACCCCCACGAAGAUCGCUGCGCAAAGCACAACGAAAAGAAAGCCGACGAUAAGUGCGUGUGGAUAGUUGGGAAUCACCACAAAAAGGUUAAACACUUGCGCAUUCAAUAGCUGUGACUCCGAUGGAAACAAAACAAAAAGUACGCGCCAAGUAUUUCCCAUCCAAUUUGCAGCUAUUUGAUCUAUUCACCGAAGAACGAUCCGCUGAAUGAAGGAAAAACAACAGCGGUACGAAAGUGAAAGAUGAAUGAUUUGCACAGGUUGCGCACCACCAUCGGUGGUGUUUAAACGGAGUAACACGUGAUCACUUCGGCGCUGCCAUUAUCACCGCGAUAUAAAGACAUACCAUUGAUUGCAACCGUUGCCACUCGCGGAAAUGCAUCAUAGGCCACAGGCUGCUGCACCUCUUUCCCUCUCUUUCGACUGUUGAGUGACUGACUGUAAGAGUGUGCGCACUUGGCUUGUAGAUAUUGCGCGCAGAUAAAAUGGGAGAUGCCGCCUCUCGGAGAAUCACGUCUCGUGCAAAACGAUGGAAAGUGAAAGCGACUAGUAUGCGCGGUCGUUUGCCAAUAUCGGGGUGGUUCACUAGUGUUUGCGGAGGGUUUCAGUGCGGGUUUAUGUGUGGUUAAUCGGUAAUUGUUUCUAAUGACGAGGGCUUGGGUACUCGAGGCUUCUGAAAACAAACCCUUGAAAUAUUUUAUGGAUCAGUCUAUGUCAAAACGUUCGUCAAAAUCAACAUUUUCACAUGAACGAGUAACGAGUAUUUUGCAAAAAGAUCUUGGGCUACAUCCUUACAAGAUCAGAUUGACUCAAGAACCCAAGCCACUUCGCCAUAUGAAGCGCCGAAAUCUUCUCCGAUAUGACGAACUUAAAGUAAAUGUUGAUUUUCAUCACAAACUCAUCUUCAGCGAUGAGGCUGGCUAAAUGGCUAAAUGGAUUUUUCAACAAGCAAAAUAUGCGUUAUUGGUCAGAUGCAAACCCACAUGUGCUUCAAGGAACACCAUUGCAUCUGCAAAAAAAAAACUGUUUGUUGUGAUUUCCAUGCCAAAGGAGUGAUUGGUCCGUAUUUCUUCGUCGAUGAGAACGACCGUCAGGUUACCGCCAAAAGAGAGCGCUAUCGCGUCAUGUUAGAAGACUAUUUUUGCUCGGAAUUGGAAGAUCUUGACAUCAAUGAUAUGUGGUUUCAAAAAGACGGUGGACUUGCCACACAGCGCACGUUACAAUGGAUAUAUUGAAAAGUAAGUUUGGUAAACGUGUUAUUUAGAGAAAUGGUCGCCUCGUCCAUGCGAUUUGACGUCAUUGGAUUUCUUUUUAUGGUCAGCAUAAAAUGCCUAUGCCUACAAGCUCAAAGUCUUUAGAAGAGCUCAAAGACAACAUUCAACGCGAAAUUCGUAGCAUCCCGGUCGAAAUGCGAGGCGUAAUGGAAAAUUCGUUUGUCGGACAAAUUCGAUUCCUUUGUACUGUGAUUUGCCUCUAAUUAAUAAUAAAAAAAGACGGGUUGGUAAUGUCGGGGACAUAACCGGAGUGACGUAGGACUGUACAAAGGGGACAGCUUUUGCUAAAUAUAUAUUUUAAAUAUAUUGUUUUAUUUUCUUCUCCUACGUGAAUACCUACCUAUCUACCUGAAAAAUGGAUUAGUUGACUGUUUACUCUUCAUGAACAUGUUGGGGGUUCUGAAAAGAACCUUUGUUGUGUUUUUGCGUUUUUUUUUACAAACUUGAUUCUUGAUUUUUUUUCUGAAUGCUUUGUACUUAUUAAAUGUUCAACGCCGGGCAUCUUUCGGCGUUUGCACAUAUCGUACAAUCAAAAUGAUGGCUGUGAUAGGGAAUGCAUAGGUGGUCAUCAGCUCAUUCACUAUCAUAUAUUUCACUAGUGAGCACAUUACCGUACCUUAAACUGUGGUUUCGGAGACGAAUGAAUUGUAAGAUUUGUAGUCUCCGUAAACAAAGUAAAUAAAAAUGAAAAAGAACUGAGCUUUUGGAGACGAAGUCUACGAUCUGUCGAAAAACAAACGAGCUAUAAGCGUUCUGACAAACCAACAGUAAAUACAGGGACGGAUGACCUUCGGAAUAAAGUCCUUCAAAAAAAGAACAUUAGCUCCUUAGUUAUUUUUCUAUACAAUGCAGAUGUAACGUCAGUCAAUUUUCAACAUCAGUUAUCAACCAAAGAAGGCAGUUCUUGCUACCGAGAAAAUUAGUUAAUGCCAUCCUGUAUACAAUGUGUUGUAAUUUGAAGCCACUUUUAAUUCGGAAACCAUGCAUGGGUAUGUGAAA